GUAGGUGAACCUGCGGAAGGAUCAUUAAUGAAACUUCAAGUCGGCUGUUCUGUGCUGGUGGCAACACAUGUGCACGUUCAGUCGCAAUCCACACACCUGUGCACUUUGACUCUGAGCACCGCCGGUAACACGGCAGAAGGUUUGAGAUGAAGGUCUUAACCCCGGUACUCGAGUAGUUUACACACUCUGUAUGUAAUAGAAUGUAACUGUACAAUGUACAACUAUAAACAACUUUCAACAACGGAUCUCU
rnacentral:misc_RNA from 1 species